rnacentral:misc_RNA from 1 species
AGAUUUGCCUUUCUUCUUGCGCGCCUCUCCUCCUUCCCCCUUCCCUUUUUUUCUUUGUCGUUGUUGUUUUCCGUUCUCUUCGUUUUCGUUUUUUUUUGUCUUUCGACUUGCCCUUUUUCGUGUUCAUUUUGUUUUCGGUGCGUCUACCCACUCCUCUUGGUGCAUCGUCUCUCUCUCUCUCUCGUCAGCGGUUUCUCCAGCUAGCCGAGCAACUCCCGCUCUACGCUACUGCUCCUUCUCUGCGCCUCUGGGUCGCUCUCCGUUGUUCUCACGCACAUAGAAAGACGUGCAGGCGCGCCGACAGAUUCGACAGACCAAGAGAGAGAAAGAGAGUAACCGACAGAGUCUCUUUUUUGCCGUGAUUUCAGCUCGCCCCUGCCGCCGCUAUCCUUUCGCUCCCUCCCUUUGCUUUUUUCUCUCUUUUUGUGUGAAGGCCCUCUGUCUGCGUUUUCGCAGCUCCAUUUCCUCCCCCUUUUUUGUUCUCCUCGUUCCGACGGUGCUAAAGUUGUUUCGUGUGUGUUUUUCUAAGAAACUUGCGUCCCUGUACGCCUGUUUUCCGCGCUCUUACACUAUUCCUCUUCUCACCGCAAAAAAUGCAGAUGAACUCCUACGCUGGUGGCUACAGCACCCACAACCGCAGCUAUGCGGCAAUGGUUCCGCCGCCGGUGCCGAUGCCUCCUGGCUGGGAGAUGGCGUACACUCCCAACGGCGAAAUCUAUUACAUUGACCACAAUACUCGUACUACGCACUGGCAACUACCAGCGGAGUACACCAUGCAGCAGUCCAUCUGCAGCUACCGUGGCCCGCAGCGCCAGCGCCGCGGUAUCGACCGUAGCAAGGCCAAGACAAAGAUGUGCAUGAACAUUGAGAACGGCGGCACGUGCUCUUACGGGGCCAACUGCGCCUUUGCCCACUCCUCGGAGGAGCUGUCGACGCACCCUCACUUCAACCCCGCUCCAGACGCGGGCUACAGCGCGAAGUAGGAGGGAGUGUAGCGGACAGGCCUCCUAUCUCUCAGGGUGCCAUACUCUGUUUUGUCAACUUUUUUUUUUCGUGCGUUUCUGCCGCUUUCUCUGCGAGUGUCUCGCGCGUGUGUUUGUGGAGGACGGCAGGGACAGAGAGCCGCGCGCACAGCACGGGCGACCACAUGAGAGGAGGGCCCGUGAGCCUCCGAGGGCGCGCGAGCACACCAAAAACGAGACAACAAAAUAGACAGAAUCCGACGCACAGCAGCGACGAAGGGCAGGUGAAGCGGAACGCAUAAAAGGCAAACUGUAAGACAUGAGAUAACGGAAGAGGGCUAAGAGAGGAGCGAGGGAAAGUCGCAGAGAGAAGGGUGACGGUAACGCAAGAGGAAAAAAAAACGAAAAGGGCAUAUCGUGCGCGUACUUUGUUUGAGCCCGCUCUUCUUCCCUUGUACGUUCUCACAGGUGUCUAUCCGUCCAUUGUCCGCUUAUCCACUGCUGCUCCUUCCUUCCCCCUUUUUCCCGUUUCUGCUGCCUCCCUCUCCCUCUCUGCUUCCCACCGGCUCUAUUCGCGUGCACUAGUCGACUAGAUCCCUCCUUUCGUUUCUCGUUUGCUUGCCUCCUUCACUGCCACCUUUGUACGUCUUGUCUUUUGGUCCCUCACGAUCAUGUGUUGUCCUGCGAUGCCCGCGGGAUCCUCUCUCUCGAGCACACACACACACACACACACACACAGAGAUAGACGCCGAUGCUGCACGAGUGCAAGCGCCAUUUUGGCGUAGUCGCGCUCGCUCUUUGUUUUUUUUCUCCCCACCUAAUUUUGUCCUCUGUUCUUGAUCAUUAAGAGAGCAUGUGUGUUGUCAACUUUUUCUACGUAGACGAAGAGUGAUCGAGAGGGAAAGAGGGAUGGAGUGCUCAGUGCGAUGUGGAGCUCAUGCUUCUUUAUUUCUCUCUUUUUCUCUCAUUUUUUUCUCUCCUUUUUGUUUGUUCUAUGGUUUGAUUAUGCUUGUUGUAAAGAAAUCUGUUGGGCUCGAUAGUAACGAAGUGACUGAAGAUUGCGGGCAUUCGUGUUUAUGCAUAGGUGCUUUCUUGGUGACUGGUGCUGCCGGUGGUCAUUUGCUGUGGUGCAGCGUUAGUUUUGAUCUUUGUGUGUGUGUGUGUGUUUUGUCGGUCUCCGUAAUGUGAGUUUGUAUCGUGCUGUUGCCGUGUUUAGCCCGCGUUUUCAUGGUGGACCGAGGCCGGUGGUGGCUCUCUUUUGUCUGAAUGUCUGCGUUUCGUGGGAAGACGCCUCUGGGGCUCUGAGCUCGUGUCCCCGCACCGGUGUAUGGGUGCGAAUAGAGAAAGAGUGUUGCACCGCGUGGGUCUGUGCAAGUUGACGGUCUCCUGUGAAAUGCUCUCGACCGUCGUGAACCUCAGCAUCCCGUUUGUUGCUAUUAUCCCGCUAGGAUGCCUCUUUUUGUUUUUUUUUUGCCUGCUGAAGUACGGGUGCUCUUGUUGAUUGUGUAACAGGUCGGGGUGUUUGUGUGUGCCGUCGGUGACCAUUCAUAACGAUUAACGAGUAAGGCAUUCGAAAAACAAACAAAAAAGACUGCCUCUACGUAAUGCGCAUUUUUUACCAUCUGUGUGUGUGUGUGUGUGCGUGCGUGUUGGUGCUCUUUCCCCCCUCCUCUCUCCCCCUUUUCUCUAUGGUUUUGCUUUUCUCUGAGGCGUUCUCUUUCUCUGUCGGUUGUUUUUUCGAUGGCGUACCCCCGUCUUCCUGCAUUUCUGUGCACCUGUUCACGCCUCCUUCUCUCUCUGGAUCUGUGUGGCGGCCUUUGACAGUCUUUGUGUGUGUAUCUGUGCGUUCCACCUUUUUUGCUUGUUUUUGCUUCUCUCUUCUCGGCGUUGUUUUUGUUUCCCUGCCCCUCUUUUGGCCGUGUUGCGCGCAGGGUCUUCUUCCUUCGUUUUGUGCGAUUCGGUGUUUUCUUUGCGUCGUUCCGUUUCCGCUUCGCCCGUGCCUGGUGGUAUUCUCUUUUCGGCGUCCUGUUGUUAUUUGUUGCCCUUGCUUUUAUUAUUAUUGUCUUUCGCUAAAAUGGGAGAAAAAUUGAGAAGAGUGGACCGCACACGAGAACAGAGCCCCUUUUUCCUUCGCCCCGCCGCCGCCCUUCCAUCGCUCUUCUCCCCGUGUUAUACCCUUGGCACUCUCGACCUCUCUCUUUCUCCCUCUGCGCGUGCGCUUUUGUGACCGUGUGUGCGCGUGUUUGACAAGGACCUUUAUAUGGUAGAAUCAGCCCUUUUCUCUCUUCUCUCCGUACCAGCUCAUCCCCACGCGUGAUUCCGCUGGAGCUGUGUUUGGUCUGUCUCGUGUUAUUCCCUUUUUUUUUUGCCAUCAUCCUUCUCGCCUCCGCACGCGCCCCGGCAUGCACGUCUACGCCUCUUGGCCAUGUAAUACGGUCUCGCUUUGGUUUUCCCCCUUUUCGUCUUUUUCCUUUUUCGCAUGCUUGUACUCUGCGAGCGAACCUUGCAGAGCGGUGGCUCCCACGUGGCAUACAUGGGGCACUCUCGGAAAAGGAGUGACAUACGCGGGUGUGCUCACCACACGAGCGUUCUAUCGUGAUACAGCGUGACGUAGAAGGAGGCAAACUCGAAGGAAAGGGUGUUUGUGUGUGCACAGGAGGGUCUUGAUGCAUAUACAUACACAUGUAUAUGUUUGCGUGCUCUCUCUGUCCCGCGGACUCACUCUCACCUACGCACGGAUACAUUCAGGCAUACAUACAAACUGUUCAUACGGUUGCACUUCAUUUGUCUCUUUUUUUUUCGUGUGCUCCUCUGUUUUAGCUGUUUAAUCUACUAAGUCUAGAACAACAAUGCAAAACCCACCACC